rnacentral:misc_RNA from 1 species
UCUGGAAACCGCUUUCUUCCUAGUAACCUGUUGUUGUUUGUCUGAAUCCUAAUUCCACAUUGUGUCUGAAUAGUAAAUGACCCUGAGCUGCACCAAUGGGUGAAGCACCGGAAUCACAAGUUUUCUUCCUUCCUGGAACCUAAUGGUGUCUCCUCAUGUUGAGACUUUGGAAGUUGAAUAUCAGGUACCACCUCAAUGUCCUUG